rnacentral:rRNA from 1 species
AGAGACAGCCUACGGGCGGCUGCAGUGGGGAAUAUUGGACAAUGGGCGCAAGCCUGAUCCAGCCAUACCGCGUGGGUGAAGAAGGCCUUCGGGUUGUAAAGCCCUUUUGUUGGGAAAGAAAUCCAGCUGGUUAAUACCCGGUUGGGAUGACGGUACCCAAAGAAUAAGCACCGGCUAACUUCGUGCCAGCAGCCGCGGUAAUACGAAGGGUGCAAGCGUUACUCGGAAUUACUGGGCGUAAAGCGUGCGUAGGUGGUCGUUUAAGUCUGUUGUGAAAGCCCUGGGCUCAACCUGGGAACUGCAGUGGAAACUGGACGACUAGAGUGUGGUAGAGGGUAGCGGAAUUCCUGGUGUAGCAGUGAAAUGCGUAGAGAUCAGGAGGAACAUCCAUGGCGAAGGCAGCUACCUGGACCAACACUGACACUGAGGCACGAAAGCGUGGGGAGCAAACAGGAUUAGAUACCCCAGUAGUCCUGUCUCU